CCGCGAGCGUCACCGUCUCCGGGAUGGAACCGGAUCAUCGUAACCGGGGGGAGCAGCGGGACCUUGACUCCGAAGAAGGACCUGUUUUGGACUUCUUGGACUUGGAACCUUAAAAAAAAAAGGACCUAUUUGAGGGGACAAGAGGAUCCCAUGACAGCACAUCGGUCUUUGAUUCCGUCUCAAUGUGGUUUCACUUAACGGAAAAAUCAGCGCCGCCCCGUACACAGCUGAGGCACAAUCUGUUCUGAAGCGCGAGCUUAUUGGUUUACUCUGCUGUAAUCGCACUCUCCGUAUAAGCAGAUACUGUUUACAGGAACUCAUUACGUUUAUUGCUCAGCAUCUGACUUAACGGACGCCCUUAUCCAGCGUGACACGCAGAAACGGAGAACGUCGACGCUCGCCUCGGGGACGCGGACGUGCCCCGAGCAUCGCCAGCGCGGCACAGAAGGCCCAUUUAUAAUCACCGAGCGGAAAGGCAGCCAAACAAAUAAACAUUUGAUGUCGUAAACGAAAGUAAA